rnacentral:lncRNA from 1 species
GGAAUUUUGGAAAGAAGCUAAGUUAAGUUUAACGGUAAUCUCCAAUCAAGGCAAGUUUCUCAGUUUAUUUAUGUGGACUUAUAAUUGCUAUAGAUAACUGUUAGCAUGAUUUAUGUUUAUAAAUAUGUAAUACCUAUGAACUGCAUUAUUUGCUUUGUGAAUGAUGAAUGUCAAAUUAUGACUAGUUAUUGAAUUGAGUCGGGGAACUCAAUAUAUAUGUGCAAUGAAUGACAUGUACAUGACAUGUGUAGUAUGAUAUGAUAUGUAUGUUGCUACCAGCAGGACAUAAAUGUGAUAAUGCAUUUGUAAUACGCUUGAACACCAAGAAUAUAAAUGCAUGAAUUGAAUGUGAAACCUAUGUGCUACGUGAUGCAUGAUAAACUGUUAGACUUGCUGGACCGUCGUGCUCAAUCUUGCUUAAUUUGCAGGUUAAAGCUAUGAUGCGAUCUAUCGUGAUUAGGAGCACAUGAAAAGAAG